UACAGAGGGUGCAAGCGUUGUUCGGAAUUAUUGGGCGUAAAGCGCGUGUAGGCGGCUUUGCAAGUCGGGUGUGAAAGCCCUCAGCUCAACUGAGGAAGUGCGCCCGAAACUGCAGAGCUUGGGUGCCGGAGAGGGUGGCGGAAUUCCCCAAGUAGAGGUGAAAUUCGUAGAUAUGGGGAGGAACACCGGUGGCGAAGGCGGCCACCUGGACGGUAACUGACGCUGAGACGCGAAAGCGUGGGGAGCGAACAGG
rnacentral:rRNA from 1 species